rnacentral:tRNA from 2 species
AGCCAUUUGGCGCAGUGGAAGCGCGCGAGGCUCAUAACCUCGAGGUACCUUGAUCAAUACUUGGAAUGGCUA